GUUACAAAAGGCUGCAGGUGGGAGCAGGGCUUGGAGAGCUGCUUUCCCCAGCCUGGAGGAUGAGAGCGGAUGGUGCUGUGGGGCUGGAAGGACGGGACUGCUGCCUGUGGGGUGGUUUGGAGGGAUUUGCAUGGGGACCUCACUUCAGCGUUAAUGGGAUUUGUGAGUUUGGAACAUAUCCUAAUGUGCUGCCUCCCUGGUAUCUCCCGUCUAAGUAAAACAAGUCUGAAUUUUUCAUCUUAAUUGCAGACCUGCGAUCUGGCAUAGACAUUCUUGUACUGAAAAGCAUCCUCUUUCUUCGGGGUAUGUAACAGCAGAGGCGUGUGCCUGCUGUCUGCACGCUGUACGUGGGGACCUGGCUGUGUCCCAGCAGCGCUUUGCAUCUCAGGGCUCGCUUCAGCCAGCCAGAAAAUCCCCAAACGCGGGGUGUCUCCAGCAGGACCCCUGCAUGGACGAGCCCAAGCAUGGUGUUCAGGGAAGCAGCGUUGCUGCUCACUGCUCCUGGGGCAGCCUGCAGCCACCUGGGACACUCGGGCAAUUCCCUGUGCUGCCUGGGGCUUGGCUCCCCCACCCCUAAAAUUGGGUUUGUGGUGUGGCUGUUACCCUCCAACUGCAGGAACACUCUUUAAAGUUGCUACUGUGGUGGAAUAAAAAGUUAUCUCCAACCCUGCAGGGAUUUGGCAAAGAUGCUGGCACAAGAAUAGUUUGUAAUGAGCUUUAAGACACAUUAAUGAAGAGAAGUAUAAUUAUUAUUACCGAGUUCAAUUACAGCCCCUGGAUUACAAAUAUUCUCCCACAAUCCCUCAAGAAAGAAAUGCAUCCUGGCUCUGCAAUUAAAUAAACUGCAUGUCGGGGGGAAGGAGGAGGAUUAGGCUACAGGAGGAAAAAUUGCUUUGGCGGGAGGCUGGCGGCCCCUCUCUUCCUCCUGAGCUGCUAUCCGUGUGGGAGGAGGCGGCCCCGCUCUGCCCAGCGUGUUCCCUUUCCAAGUGUUCCUGGUGGAAUGGGGGCUGCCUCCUUCCACAGCCUCAGCAUCUGUACUGCUGCAGCUGCCACGUCAGUGGAAUCUAACAAACCCCGUCCUGAAAUAUUUAUGGAAGUGCACACCUGUACGUUUCUGCUUCCCGGAGAUGCAACCUAGGCAAUUCUUCAGGGGAUUUUCCUUCCCCGACUGCUAAGCGUAGAGGCAAAACUGAAGGAUUCGCAUGUUUCCUACCAAGGAGCAUGACCCAAGGCAUGAUGCGGGGAGAGAUGUGCAGGCAGAGCACAGCUGCGGGUCAAGUGCUGGGGAAGCGGCACAUCGAGCGCACGGAGCUUGGCCCCAGCCACGCAGCAGAAACAUCGAGCAGAGGUAAAAACAUGUUCCCUGGGGAGCGACAAGGUCCAGGGGCUGGAAGAGCUGCUAAUGUGCAUUUGGGCUCAUUGGCCAGUGAUGCUUGCCUCUGGAGAGCUUCGUGGGAAGGAGGAGAAGGCAGCAAUUCGCUGAGGGCUGGCCAGGACAACGAGGGGCGUCUGAUGUCUGCAGCGAGAAGUCCUCGAUGGGGAGGAUCAGCCCCACACGGGUGUGGGGUGUGAGGACCAGGCUCCACAGCAUGGAGCAGCACGGGAUGCUCCAAACUGGUCAGAACUGGGAUGCUGGUGCAGCCUUGCCAUUUGCUGCUUUUAAUGCCCACAUCCACCCUGAAAAAACUUUGGAUGUCGAAAUGUGCUGAGUUAAGCAUGGCAGCAGGAGUCCCUGGUCGUGUUGUGGGUGCUCCUCUGCAGGACAUAAAGUGACAACGAGCUUCAGCAACCACACAGAAAGAGCUGGGGUGGCACUGGUGAGCCGAGCUGCCUCGCAGGGCCCUGCCUGGUGACUUGGUUCCUUCCCCUGGCAAGCAGGAUGGCAGAAUUACAGCCCCAGGGAUCUCACAGCUUCUCCUUAAACACCGCUGUUGUCUGCAGGGACGUCUCUGGAAAUGAUGGAGCUGCCGCUUGUUUAAAUUCUCUCAGAACCCGAUAUCAGAAGGCAUUUCUUUGCAGCCUGAUUAUUGUUUAAUCUUUCCUGCCUAACCUGGUUUACACACCGCUUCGGUGCUGCCUUUUGAUCACGCGGGCUGUAGGAAACUUGUUUGCGCUGUGAACCCUACGGCUUUGUUCCCGCAAGCGUGCUACCCGUGGGGAAACUUUUGUCCAAACAGCCUCUAAUUCCCUAAAGAUAGAGAGCUGCCGGCUUUGCUUUCUAGUCGAAAUGACAGCACGGAAUAUGUGGUGUUAUUCCUCUGCUCAUGGGUGGUUUCCUAUUCAGGCAUCCUCACAUCCAACCCAGUUGUCAGAAGGACGUCACAGCGUGCCGGCGCUGCUGCUGGCUGCCUGGGGGGCACCCGAGGGAUGGGUAUUUUGGCUGAGGCCAACCACCACGAUCUCCCAGGGAGGGAUGCAGUGCACCCAGGGCAGGGUCUGGGUUCUUGCACUCUCCUCCUUACAGUGUGAAGGUGGCGAGGCACAGCCCUCACGAGGCAGGAGGUGAUGUGUGUGCUGUGAUGGCACAGAGCGGAGCUGCUCCUGGAGAGCUGCUCCCAAAGAAAACCUCAGAGACCCACCUAAUGAGGGUGGUGGCGGCGUGCUUGCCAUGUAGAAAAUAUUUAAACAGGUUGUAAUGAGGGCCUGGCUUCAUUACUGGAGCCGUGUCGGGCUGAUAACCGGAUCGCUCCUGCUGCACUCAAGUCCCCCGUUGGAAUGGAUGCAUGAGCGUGCUGCGCUCGAGGGCACCGCAGCAGUUGUCUUAGCGUGAAUCUUGCCCAUGGAACAAUAUUGCUUGCUGUUGCAUGAACGGAACAUGUCUCCUCUGAUUGUUUUUCCCUGCUCUUUUGAGACGGAUGCUGUCUGAGGAGCCCCAUUGGUAGAAGGUCUUUUCUGAGGUGCGGAGGCAGCUUUUAACGUGAAAUCUCUGGUAUCAGUACUGGAGGGGGAAAAAAAAAACCUCUAAGUGCUUUGUGGAUGAAGCUUGCUCCUUUUCUGCAAGGAAUCGGUGAGACUUGGCAAGAGACUGGCCUUGGUGGCCCAUUCCCUGGUCCCUCUCUAGGGUGUUUCAGCUGUAAUUAUCCUUUUUUAAUUUGGGAAGCUAUUGAACUGUAGCAAUAUUCCCCAAGUAGCUUAAACUGCCACUCCUGUAAGAUACCAGGGAAAAAAAAAGAUGUCUCUCAAUGGAAAUACUGAUAGUUUUUUUCCUCUGAUAAGCCCUGGCCCAGCACUUCUGCUCGGACCUGCUCUGUCCUCAGGGACACCACUCAUCUGCCCAGCAACUGGUGAUUCCUGAGAGCCAGGAAUGAAACUGUUAAGGUUUUAUAACUUCGUGUAUUGAAUUAUCACAAGUGACAAAAGGAACAGGAGUUAAUUCCAUGGCAGAGACAGAGUAUAUCUCUGCACAGCAAUCAUUUCAAAGGCAAAUAGAAAUGUCUAUAGACUCGGGGCCGUUCAAUGUGCCAGCACCCUGGCAGGAGAUGUGCUGUGGGUUCCCAGAGCAUCGCCUCGGGAUGGGGCUUUGUGGAGACGUGGGCAUCGCUCAGCUAAAAGGCAAGGCUCGUCUCCAGCUGGGUUCAAAAGGACGUGCUCAUGUUAAGAUCAGGUAAAAUGUUGUAAAAUCAGAAUGUGAAAUAUCCUGGCAGCCUUCCAUGUCCGGGCUCUUUAGAUUUCCCUGUGCUGGGGGGUGAUGAACGUGGUCCCGAGAGCCUGCGUGUGCUGAGAGGCAGGCUCCAAACCCCACAAAUGCUCAGUUGGGGGUGGCCGCCCCUCGCCCCCUGCCCACAGCAGGCUCCUUGCUUCCCUGCGCUGCUGCUGGGGCUGUCCUGGACCUGGGGACACCUUUGAGCAGAGCAGUGCCCAGCAGGAUCACACAGCGACACGCUUUUCCAGCAGCUGCAGGCUGCCCCGUGCUCCUGCCGCGUGGCUAGCAGGGACUUGACAAAUUCUGGUCGGAGCAGAGAGCACUCGCUGGUACCUGCGGACGACAGAGGGAAGAAGAUAAUAUGUUUGCAUCCCAAAAGUGGUCCCUGCAGGCAGAUUUUGAGGCAGGUUUCCAACCAUCUCCCUUCGGAGACGCCGAGCAGGCUUUAAAAACCCUUUAUAUUUUUAGCAGCAACAUAAUAUCGGUGGAAAUUUAAUAAACUUCACCAUCAAAUAUUUAUCCCA